rnacentral:tRNA from 1 species
AAAGAAUUAGUUAAAUUUAACAUUAGUAUGUCAUGCUAAAAUUAUUAGUUAUAAUCUAGUAUUCUUUG